GAUGAACGCUGGCGGCGUGCCUAAUACAUGCAAGUCGAGCGAACAGACGAGGAGCUUGCUCCUCUGACGUUAGCGGCGGACGGGUGAGUAACACGUGGAUAACCUACCUAUAAGACUGGGAUAACUUCGGGAAACCGGAGCUAAUACCGGAUAAUAUAUUGAACCGCAUGGUUCAAUAGUGAAAGACGGUUUUGCUGUCACUUAUAGAUGGAUCCGCGCCGCAUGAGCUAGUUGGUAAGGUAACGGCUUACCAAGGCAACGAUGCGUAGCCGACCUGAGAGGGUGAUCGGCGACACUGGAACUGGGCCACGGUCCAUGCUCCUACGGGAGGCAGCAGUAGGGAAUCUUCCGCAAUGGGCGAAAGCUUGACGGAGCAACGCCGCGUGAGUGAUGAAGGCCUUCGGAUCGGAAAACUCUGUUACUAGGGAAGAACAAAUGUGUCAGUAACUAUGCACGUCUUGACGGUACCUAAUCAGAAAGCCACGGCUAACUACGUG
rnacentral:rRNA from 1 species